rnacentral:rRNA from 1 species
CAAGUCGAACGCACUCUUCUAAUUUAGUGGCAGGAGGGUGAGUAACAUGUGGGAAUCUGCCUUGAGGUUCAGGAUAACAUCAGGGAAACUUGUGCUAAUACUGGAUGUGCCCUUCGGGGGAAAGAUUUAUUGCCAUUUAGAGCGGCCCGCAUUUGAUUAGCUAGUUGGUGAGGUAAUGGCUCACCAAGACGACGAUCAGUAGCUGAUCUGAGAGGAUGAUCAGCCACAUUGGGACUGAGACACGGCCCAAACUCCUACGGGAGGCAGCAGUGGGGAAUCUUGCACAAUGGAGGAAACUCUGACGCAGCCAUGCCGCGUGAAUGAAGAAGGUCUUUGGAUUGUAAAGUUCUUUUGGUGGGGACGAUAAUGACUGUACCUUCAGAAUAAGGCCCGGCUAACUUCGUGCCAGCAGCCGCGGUAAUACGAAGGGACCUAGCGUUGUUCGGAAUUACUGGGCGUAAAGGGCGCGUAGGCCGUUGAUUUAGUUAAAUGUGAAAUCCCUGAGCUUAACUUGGGAACUGCAUUUGAGACUGCUCGACUAGAGGACGAUAGAGGAGAGUGGAAUUCAUAGUGUAGAGGUGAAAUUCGUAGAUAUUGUGAAGAACACCGGUGGCGAAGGCGGCUUUCUGGAUCAACACUGACGCUGAGGCGCGAAAGCAUGGGUAGCAAACAGGAUUAGAUACCCUGGUAGUCCAUACCAUAAACGAUGUUGCUAGACGUUGGAGCUCUAUUUUCUUCUGUGUCGCUAACUAACGCAUUAAUCCGACCUGCGUGAGUACGACCGCAAGGAAGGUACUCACAUGAGUGAUUGG